UACGGAGGGGGCAAGCGUUGUUCGGAAUUACUGGGCGUAAAGGGCUCGUAGGUGGCCAACUAAGUCGGACGUGAAAUCCCUCAGCUUAACUGGGGAACUGCAUCCGAUACUGGAUGGCUUGAGUUCGGGAGAGGGAUGCGGAAUUCCAGGUGUAGCGGUGAAAUGCGUAGAUAUCUGGAGGAACACCGGUGGCGAAGGCGGCAUCCUGGACCGACACGGACACUGAGGAGCGAAAGCCAGGGGAGCAAACGGG
rnacentral:rRNA from 1 species